AACGGACGCUGGCGGCGUGCUUAACACAUGCAAGUCGAACGAGAAAGCUCCCUUCGGGGAGUGAGUAAAGUGGCAGACGGGUGAGUAACACGUGGGUAACCUACCCCGAGGUGGGGGAUAACUCUCCGAAAGGAGGGCUAAUACCGCAUAACAUCCCGAGACCGAUGGGUCAUGGGAUCAAAGCAGGCCUCUUCUUGAAAGCUUGCGCCAUGGGAUGGGCCCGCGCCCCAUUAGCUUGUUGGUGAGGUAACGGCUCACCAAGGCCGCGAUGGGUAGCCGGCCUGAGAGGGCGAUCGGUCACACUGGAACUGAGACACGGUCCAGACUCCUACGGGAGGCAGCAGUGAGGAAUUUUGCGCAAUGGGCGAAAGCCUGACGCAGCGACGCCGCGUGGAGGAAGAAGGCCUUCGGGUCGUAAACUCCUGUCAGGAGGGACGAAUGUCGGGCGGCUGAAUAAGCCGUCCGGUUGACGGUACCUCUG
rnacentral:rRNA from 1 species